rnacentral:lncRNA from 1 species
UUUUUUUUUUUUUUUUAAUUCAAUCUGGAAUCAGAAAGCAGUGGAUUCUGGCAAAUGGUCCUUGUGCCCUCCCCACUCAUCCUUGGUCUGGUCCCCUGUUGCCCAUAGCCCUUUACCCUGAGCACCACCCAACAGACUGGGGACCAGCCCCCUCGCCUGCCUGUGUCUCUCCCCAAACCCCUUUAGAUGGGGAGGGAAGAGGAGGAGAGGGGAGGGGACCUGCCCCCUCCUCAGGCAUCUGGGAAGGCCCUGCCCCCAUGGGCUUUACCCUUCCCUGAGGGCUCUCUCCCCGACACAUUUGUUAAAAUCAAACCUGAAUAAAACUACAAGUUUAAUAUGAAAAAAAAA